rnacentral:rRNA from 1 species
AUUGAACGCUGGCGGCAGGCUUGACACAUGCAAGUCGAGCGGAGAGAGGUAGCUUGCUACUGAUCUUAGCGGCGGACGGGUGAGUAAUGCUUAGGAAUCUGCCUAUUAGUGGGGGACAACAUUUCGAAAGGAAUGCUAAUACCGCAUACGUCCUACGGGAGAAAGCAGGGGAUCUUCGGACCUUGCGCUAAUAGAUGAGCCUAAGUCGGAUUAGCUAGUUGGUGAGGUAAAGGCCUACCAAGGCGACGAUCUGUAGCGGGUCUGAGAGGAUGAUCCGCCACACUGGGACUGAGACACGGCCCAGACUCCUACGGGAGGCAGCAGUGGGGAAUAUUGGACAAUGGGCGGAAGCCUGAUCCAGCCAUGCCGCGUGUGUGAAGAAGGCCUUAUGGUUGUAAAGCACUUUAAGCGAGGAGGAGGCUACUUUAGUUAAUACCUAGAGAUAGUGGACGUUACUCGCAGAAUAAGCACCGGCUAACUCUGUGCCAGCAGCCGCCGUAAAAC